CGGCCGCGUCGACGGGCGUAAGCGUCCGCAGGUGGCAGUUCAAGUCUGCUGUCAAAGACCGGGGCUUAACUUCGGAAAGGCAGUGGAAACUGAACAGCUAGAGUAUGGUAGGGGCAGAGGGAAUUCCUGGUGUAGCGGUGAAAUGCGUAGAGAUCAGGAAGAACAUCGGUGGCGAAGGCGCUCUGCUGGACCAUAACUGACACUCAGGGACGAAAGCUAGGGGAGCGAAUGGGAUUAGAUACCCCAGUAGUCCUAGCCGUAAACGAUGGAUACUAGGUGUUGUCUGUAUCGACCCGGACAGUGCCGUAGCUAACGCGUUAAGUAUCCCGCCUGGGGAGUACGCACGCAAGUGUGAAACUCAAAGGAAUUGAC
rnacentral:rRNA from 1 species